rnacentral:rRNA from 1 species
UUUGUGGAGGGUUCGAUUCUGGCUCAGGAUGAACGCUGGCGGCGUGCUUAACACAUGCAAGUCGAACGGGAUCCAUCAGGCUUUGCUUGGUGGUGAGAGUGGCGAACGGGUGAGUAAUGCGUGACCGACCUGCCCCAUACACCGGAAUAGCUCCUGGAAACGGGUGGUAAUGCCGGAUGCUCCGACUCCUCGCAUGGGGUGUCGGGAAAGAUUUCAUCGGUAUGGGAUGGGGUCGCGUCCUAUCAGGUAGUCGGCGGGGUAACGGCCCACCGAGCCUACGACGGGUAGCCGGCCUGAGAGGGCGACCGGCCACAUUGGGACUGAGAUACGGCCCAGACUCCUACGGGAGGCAGCAGUGGGGAAUAUUGCACAAUGGGCGCAAGCCUGAUGCAGCGACGCCGCGUGCGGGAUGACGGCCUUCGGGUUGUAAACCGCUUUUGAUCGGGAGCAAGCCUUCGGGUGAGUGUACCUUUCGAAUAAGCACCGGCUAACUACGUGCCAGCAGCCGCGGUAAUACGUAGGGUGCAAGCGUUAUCCGGAAUUAUUGGGCGUAAAGGGCUCGUAGGCGGUUCGUCGCGUCCGGUGUGAAAGUCCAUCGCUUAACGGUGGAUCUGCGCCGGGUACGGGCGGGCUGGAGUGCGGUAGGGGAGACUGGAAUUCCCGGUGUAACGGUGGAAUGUGUAGAUAUCGGGAAGAACACCAAUGGCGAAGGCAGGUCUCUGGGCCGUUACUGACGCUGAGGAGCGAAAGCGUGGGGAGCGAACAGGAUUAGAUACCCUGGUAGUCCACGCCGUAAACGGUGGAUGCUGGAUGUGGGGCCCGUUCCACGGGUUCCGUGUCGGAGCUAACGCGUUAAGCAUCCCGCCUGGGGAGUACGGCCGCAAGGCUAAAACUCAAAGAAAUUGACGGGGGCCCGCACAAGCGGCGGAGCAUGCGGAUUAAUUCGAUGCAACGCGAAGAACCUUACCUGGGCUUGACAUGUUCCCGACAGCCGUAGAGAUAUGGCCUCCCUUCGGGGCGGGUUCACAGGUGGUGCAUGGUCGUCGUCAGCUCGUGUCGUGAGAUGUUGGGUUAAGUCCCGCAACGAGCGCAACCCUCGCCCUGUGUUGCCAGCACGUCAUGGUGGGGAACUCACGGGGGACCGCCGGGGUCAACUCGGAGGAAGGUGGGGAUGACGUCAGAUCAUCAUGCCCCUUACGUCCAGGGCUUCACGCAUGCUACAAUGGCCGGUACAACGGGAUGCGACACGGCGACGUGGAGCGGAUCCCUGAAAACCGGUCUCAGUUCGGAUUGGAGUCUGCAACCCGACUCCAUGAAGGCGGAGUCGCUAGUAAUCGCGGAUCAGCAACGCCGCGGUGAAUGCGUUCCCGGGCCUUGUACACACCGCCCGUCAAGUCAUGAAAGUGGGUAGCACCCGAAGCCGGUGGCCUAACCCUUUGUGGAUGGAGCCGUCUAAGGUGAGACUCGUGAUUGGGACUAAGUCGUAACAAGGUAGCCGUACCGGAAGGUGCGGCUGGAUCACCUCCUUU